rnacentral:rRNA from 1 species
GAUGAACGCUAGCGGCAGGCCUAACACAUGCAAGUCGAGGGGCAGCACGUCUUCGGAUGGUGGCGACCGGCGCACGGGUGCGUAACGCGUAUGCAACCUACCUCUUACAGUGGGAUAGCCCAGAGAAAUUUGGAUUAAUACCGCAUAGUAUACAGAUUCAGCAUUGGGACUGUAUUAAACAUUUAUGGGUAAGAGAUGGGCAUGCGUUCUAUUAGUUAGUUGGAGUGGUAACGGCACCCCAAGACAGCGAUAGAUAGGGCCCGUCGAGAGGGGAGUCCCCACCACUGGUACGUGAGACACGGACCGAGACUCCUACGGAGGCAGCAGUGAGGAA